rnacentral:rRNA from 1 species
UACCAGCACCCCGAGUGGUCGGGACGUUUUAUUGGGCCUAAAGCAUCCGUAGCCGGUUCUACAAGUCUUCCGUUAAAUCCAACUGCUUAACAGGUGGGCUGCGGAAGAUACUAUAGAGCUAGGAGGCGGGAGAGGCAAGCGGUACUCGAUGGGUAGGGGUAAAAUCCGUUGAUCCAUUGAAGACCACCAGUGGCGAAGGCGGCUUGCCAGAACGCGCUCGACGGUGAGGGAUGAAA